rnacentral:RNase_P_RNA from 1 species
CCAGUUGGUCGGAGAACCGCGCUUGAUUUCGGUCAGGUGAGGAAAGUCCGGACUUCACGGAAAUACGGUGCCGGUUAAUGGCCGGGCAGGGUGACUUGACGGAAAGUGCAACAGAGAGCAAACCGCCGAUGGCUCGCAAGAGAUCAGGUAAGGGUGAAACGGUGCGGUAAGAGCGCACCACUCGUCUGGUAACAGACAGGUAUGGCAAACCCCACCGGAAGCAAGACCAAAUAGGGGCUGCACAUGAUCCAUUUCCGGAUCGUGGCCCGGGUAGGUUGCUGGAGGUUUGUGGUAACACAAAUCCAAGAGGAAUGGUUCUCGCUCCUUCGGGAGUACAGAAUCCGGCUUAUAGACCAACUGGCUUU